rnacentral:rRNA from 1 species
GACGAACGCUGGCGGCGUGCCUAAUACAUGCAAGUCGAGCGAAGUUUUUCUGGUGCUUGCACCGGAAAAACUUAGCGGCGAACGGGUGAGUAACACGUAAAGAACCUGCCUCAUAGACUGGGACAACUAUUGGAAACGAUAGCUAAUACCGGAUAAUAGCAUUAACUGCAUGGUUGAUGUUUAAAAGUUGGUUUUGCUAACACUAUGAGAUGGCUUUGCGGUGCAUUAGCUAGUUGGUGGGGUAAAGGCCUACCAAGGCGACGAUGCAUAGCCGACCUGAGAGGGUGAUCGGCCACACUGGGACUGAGACACGGCCCAGACUCCUACGGGAGGCAGCAGUAGGGAAUCUUCCGCAAUGGGCGAAAGCCUGACGGAGCAACGCCGCGUGAGUGAAGAAGGAUUUCGGUUCGUAAAGCUCUGUUGUUAGGGAAGAAUGAUUGUGUAGUAACUAUACACAGUAGAGACGGUACCUAACCAGAAAGCCACGGCUAACUACG